CAGCAUCCUUCCCUCCAAGAACUUCCCACCUUGCUCUUGGGGAGGCUCGAACUCACAACCUCUCGGUUGGAAGUGAGGGUUGCUUACCAUCAGAGCAAUGUCUUUAAAAAAGGAACAAGAAAUAAAGAAAAAAAAAUAAUAAAAUAAAGAUGGAGUCAAAUUUGAGUGUGAAAUAGGUUAUGGUAAAAAUAACAAUAAUACGAUUUGGAAAAAAAUAAAUGAAUAAAAGAGAAAAAAUUUAAAAAAAAAAAUAGAAAGAAAAUGAGAAAAAAGAAAAUGAGAAUAGAAAAGAAAAAAAGGAAAAAAGCAUAGAAAUAAGAAAGAAUUGGAGAAUGAAGAAAAAAUCCCCCACAAUAAUUAGUUUAUGGGUAGAAAAAUAAAUGGGUAGACAAGGGUAAAUAGUUUUGUUUUUGUGGGUAACUGUGUUAAAACCCCAAAAGAAUUCGACUUAAAAGGUUUCUACACAGUUGUUACUUGUCUAUUCCUUUUUAUGGUAGUUCCUUGUAGUUCCCUUUUGAAAUAGGGGGAUUUAAACUGUUGGUUUCCUAUUAUACAAGAGUAUUUUAGAGUAGCUAGUUGAUCCUUGAAUCUGUUCCAUGUAGGCGUCUUAACACAAUUGGAUGUAUCACCUUCUAAACACCUUUAUAUUUUUUCUGUUAAGCAAGGUACGAUCUGGGCGUCUUACCACAAUUGGAUGUAUCACCUUCUAUACACCUUUAUAUUUUUUCUGUUAUGCAAGGUAGGGUCUGCUUAAAAUUUUACCUGAAUAAUCCCAAUUUUAUUUGCACACACAGCUGGAUUAGACAUGCCUAGUAUUAUUUUCCAGAUCCAGACGUCAUAAUUAGCCUUUUAGACAGAUCUGCUGCUCUUUCUCUCCUCUGGUUUUUAGCAUUCACAUGUGUAUUUAUUUUAUGUUUGUUGAUUUGGACUGUAUCUUAUGGUUGAAAGAAAUGGCACUGUCAUCGGAGGGUAUCAAGAUAUUUGAGCAUGU
rnacentral:lncRNA from 1 species